ACCACUCACCAAUAUAUUUCGUGAUCCACAAACAAAUGUAAUAACAUUCGCAAAUAUAAUUCAUACAUUUCAUGAUCCACAAACAAAUGUAACAACAUUCACAAAUAUAAUUCAUGAUGCACAAAUGAAUGUAACCCCCUUCACAAAUGCCAGCGCAGUUCUAUUAAUUUGCAAACCGGUCUACAUAUAUUCGCAAGCCCUAUACAUAUUUGUGACUUCCAUUGUAUUUGUGUGUGGAUUUUUGAGACUGUCCUGACGGUAUUUGACACACAAAUGUGCUCAGCCAAUCACAUCAGCCGGCGUUCGAGCGUAAGGUUGAAGACAUUGCGCUUCUAUUACGCAGAGAAGGCUACUAGUGCUAAGCCAACAUAGAUCUGUAUAAAUAACUGGAAGUAGAGCCAUUACUGAAGUGCUCCCUGACGUAAACUCGGAAGCGUAUGAAGUUACUGACUUUCACAUCAUCUUUGUACAAAUAUGUCUGGAUCUGGACUAACAUGUGCCGUAAUCGGAUGUCACAAUAACAGCAGAAAGCUAAAAAUGUGGAAAAAGAGCGUAUGUGCGCUUCAUAGUCCACAGUUUAAAGAGGAUUGUCCUUGUUGUGUGCCCUACGGUGUACACCGCUUCCCCGGCCGUGCUGAGGAUGAAGACAUUCGCAAGAUGUGGAUUAAAAACGUACACCGAAAGGACUUUGCCCCCAAACAAGUAUUCAAGGGUGUGUGCGGAGUACACUUCCCUGACGGCAGACCAACGCAGGAACACCCAUAUCCCAUAAUAUGGGAUAUGAAUAUAGUAAAGCACCAUCAUGUGGAAGACCACCCCCAAAGAGGAGAUGUCUCCAGCCCCA